AUUUUUCAAUUCAGUUGUCGGCCAAAAAGAGCCUCCAUUUUAACCAGCUGCAUUCCGUGAUUCCAACCGGGUCCCUGAACGCCACAGCCGAGCUGGAGUUGAUGCAGGCUGCCGUACAGACCACCGAUCCUGAUGGUGUUGUCGGCCUUGGAGGAUGAGGUCCAGUUACCAGGAUCACUACUCUGCAGCUCACCAGUCCCGUCCUGCAGCUCAUCCACGCUGUCCUCUUCUCAACAGACCAAAUCAUGAAAAAGGAAGCGGGAUGCUACUGUGGAUCUUCUGCAGUAUCUGGAGAGGUCAGAGGAACGGUUCUUGGAACAGAUCAGAAGAGACCAAGACCUGACCACUGCCAUGCUCCAGAGCAUCCAGAGGAUGGAUGCAAAUUCAAACACUUUGGUUGGACUGAUGGGAUGCAUGGUGUCGGUGCUGGAGCGACUAUCCCAGAAAUAAACUGCAUUGUCCACUACUUCUGCCUUUUCUAGAAAAAAUAACUUUUUUUGUAAAUUAUUUUCCUUCUUAGCUAUUUAAGUUCACUUGUAUUUUA